rnacentral:lncRNA from 1 species
CAAAACAAGAACAAAGGAAGAAAAGAAGAACAAAAACCCUAGGUGGAAAAAUUCAAGGGAAAAGUGUGAAAAUUCAAGGAAACAAGUGAAAAAAGGUAAGAUUUUUCAAUUCUAGCAUGUGAUCUACCUUUCCCAUGCAUUUUUUUCCAUUUUCCAUGGUUAAGAAUCAAGUUUGCAUGAGGAUACCCUUGCUGGCCGGACAUGGGGGGAGGAGUUUUGAUGCUUGAUUUGGUUAGAUUUUAAGAUAUUUUAGUGUUUUUGGUUAGUUAGUGAUGUGUAGCAUUAAAAUCAAGCAAGAAAAAUUCACUUUCUCCCAUCACCCAUCAUUGGCUGAAUUUUUCCAUGUAAAGUGUGAAUGGUAGAUUUGAUUUUAUUUCAAGUGAAUUGGUUAGGAAAUGAUGAAUUAUGGUGAGAAAAUCGAGUAGGAAAAAUCAUAGUGUUGAUGCACCCACCAUGGACAAAAUUCUCAAGAGAAAAUGUGAAGAUGAUUUUGCUAAAUUUUAUGCUAUUUGACUUGUGUUUGAUGGUUUGGAGAAUUGGAAGAAAAAUGGAGAUCAUUGGAGUUGAAUUGGGCAUAUUGGCCAAUUAAUAGAGUGAUAGAUCGAAUUAGGCCAAUACCGUUUUAUUUAGGUGCACAAUUGAGUUUGAGUAGAACACCGUGUUUAGAUGAUAAUUCGAGCAAUUUACAUUCCAUUUCAUGCAACCAUAUAGUUUUAUAACGGUUUAGCACCAAUGUGGUAAAUUGCUUGAUUGUGCAUUAUGUUUAGGUGGUGAAUCCUCCGAUAAAGGCAAAGAAAUUAUACCCGAGGAUCGAUAAUUGGAGUACUCUAAAAAUAUUUGACUCCAGAAAAGUGAGUAACAUUAUCAUCAUUUUAAUUAUCUAAAGUGGUCUUUUUAUUCGAUUUUUUGAAUUUUAUGAAAAAUGAAUUGACACGACCCAGAACUCCCAUCGGGCCCAUGACAACCGCAGCGACGUCCCGAUAGGCACUUAUUACUCGAAAUGCCGAUCGAAACCCCGCAAGGCUUAGCAUCAGCUUCUGUAUCUCCCCGAUGAGUGACAGUUAUUAAAUCUCGCAUUUCAAGAAACCAGAAGUCGUUUCCAAAUCAAAAUAAUAUAAUAUUAUUUUCUAGCUCACAAGGACAUUUUCGUUAUUUUUUUUCAAAAAUAUCGAAACCCGCCAAAAACAUGGUGUGUGGGUGAAAAACACAUGUUUCAUAAUUAAAAGUAAAUUUAGAUGUCUAAAAUAAUUAUUUGAAAUGAAAUUAUAAUUGUUUGAAUAAAAUAUUAAUAUUCAAUGAAAUAUUCUAUUUUCUAAAUAAAAAUAAUAUUUAUAGAGAAAUCUGUAAUUUAAUUUCUGUAGUGUAAAAGCUAAGUAUAUUCAUACGUACUUUAAAGCAGAUAACUGAAGUAUAAAAUUUCUUUUACAGUGACACGUGGGCCCCCAACUAACCAAUAAGGUGUGAGUCUGUGAACCUACAGUUUUGUCGAUGCAAGGCUAACUAAAGUCCUUAAUGCAAUCGGUUAUCUACCGGUUAUCUCGAGCCUGAAAUGUGGGGAAUUGAGGGUGGUGAGAUUACAAAAUCUCAGUGAGUAAAUAGACACCAUCUAAAUUAUCUAAAAGCGAGUAAAUGGAAACGAAUUAAAAUAAGUCAUCAUACUGUAAUUUCAUUACCAUUCAAUUCAUUUCAACCAAAUAAACAAAUAGGCUUAUGAUUUCUUGAAAAGCUUGGCUCGUGCCAAAAAUAAUUCUCAUACUCAGUUAUUAGGGAUACCUUGAUCGAGGGUUAUCCCAACUGAGUUCGCCAAGGCUGUUAAAUGUCUUUACAUCCGAAAUUUUAGCCAUGCCUUAGCGUUGGCUGAGUCUCACUCUCAUGCGGUGGUCCAC